rnacentral:rRNA from 1 species
GCCUAACACAUGCAAGUCGAGCGAUCCUUUCGGGGAUAGCGGCGAACGGGUGAGUAACGCGUGGGAACGUGCCCUCUUCUCCGGAAUAGCCCAUGGAAACGUGGAUUAAUGCCGGAUACGCCCUUUUGGGGAAAGAUUUAUCGGAGGAGGAUCGGCCCGCGUUGGAUUAGGUAGUUGGUGGGGUAAUGGCCUACCAAGCCGACGAUCCAUAGCUGGUUUGAGAGGAUGAUCAGCCACACUGGGACUGAGACACGGCCCAGACUCCUACGGGAGGCAGCAGUGGGGAAUCUUAGACAAUGGGGGCAACCCUGAUCUAGCCAUGCCGCGUGAGCGAAGAAGGCCUUAGGGUUGUAAAGCUCUUUCGCCUGGGAAGAUAAUGACGGUACCAGGUAAAGAAGCCCCGGCUAACUCCGUGCCAGCAGCCGCGGUAAU